AUUGAACGCUGGCGGCAUGCCUCACACAUGCAAGUCGAACGGCAGCACGGACUUCGGUCUGGUGGCGAGUGGCGAACGGGUGAGUAAUGUAUCGGAACGUGCCCAGUCGUGGGGGAUAACGUAGUGAAAAUUACGCUAAUACCGCAUACGAUCUAUGGAUGAAAGCGGGGGAUCGCAAGACCUCGCGCGAUUGGAGCGGCCGAUAUCAGAUUAGGUAGUUGGUGGGGUAAAGGCCCACCAAGCCAACGAUCUGUAGCUGGUCUGAGAGGACGACCAGCCACACUGGAACUGAGACACGGUCCAGACUCCUACGGGAGGCAGCAGUGGGGAAUUUUGGACAAUGGGCGAAAGCCUGAUCCAGCCAUUCCGCGUGCAGGAUGAAGGCCCUCGGGUUGUAAACUGCUUUUGUACAGAACGAAAAGGUUUCUACUAAUACUAGGAGCUCAUGACGGUACUGUAAGAAUAAGCACCGGCUAACUACGUGCCAGCCGCCGCCGUAA
rnacentral:rRNA from 1 species